rnacentral:tRNA from 1 species
GCCGACGUCGCAUAAUCUGGUAUUGCACCGGUCUCGAAAACCGGAUCCUUUUGGAUAUGUAGGUUCGAAUCCUACCGUCGGCG